rnacentral:lncRNA from 1 species
UGGUUAUGCCGGCGAUGAUAGGUGGAUUUGGGAAUUGGUUUGUUCCGAUUCUGAUAGGUGCACCUGACAUGGCAUUUCCACGAUUAAAUAAUAUAUCAUUCUGGUUGUUGCCACCAAGUCUCUUGCUCCUAUUAAGCUCAGCCUUAGUAGAAGUGGGCAGCGGCACUGGGUGGACGGUCUAUCCGCCCUUAAGUGGUAUUACCAGCCAUUCUGGAGGAGCAGUUGAUUUAGCAAUUUUUAGUCUUCAUCUAUCAGGUGUUUCAUCAAUUUUAGGUUCUAUCAAUUUUAUAACUACUAUCUUCAACAUGCGUGGACCUGGAAUGACUAUGCAUAGAUUACCACUUUUUGUGUGGUCCGUUCUAGUGACAGCAUUCCUACUUUUAUUAUCACUUCCGGUACUGGCAGGGGCAAUUACAAUGUUAUUAACCGAUCGAAACUUUAAUACAACCUUUUUUGAUCCAGCAGGAGGGGGAGACCCAAUAUUAUACCAGCAUCUCUUUUGGUUCUUCGGUCAUCCAGAGGUGUAUAUUCUCAUUCUGCCUGGAUUCGGUAUUAUUAGUCAUAUCGUAUCGACCUUUUCAAGAAAACCGGUCUUCGGGUAUCUAGGCAUGGUUUAUGCCAUGAUAAGUAUAGGUGUUCUUGGAUUUCUAGUUUGGGCUCAUCAUAUGUUUACUGUGGGCUUAGACGUUGAUACGCGUGCCUACUUCACCGCAGCUACCAUGAUCAUAGCUGUGCCCACUGGAAUCAAAAUCUUUAGUUGGAUCGCUACCAUGUGGGGAGGUUCGAUACAAUACAAAACACCCAUGUUAUUUGCUGUAGGGUUCAUCUUUUUGUUCACCAUAGGAGGGCUCACUGGAAUAGUUCUAGCAAACUCUGGGCUAGACAUUGCUCUACAUGAUACUUAUUAUGUGGUUGCACAUUUCCAUUAUGUACUUUCUAUGGGAGCCGUUUUUGCUUUAUUUGCUGGAUUUUACUAUUGGGUGGGUAAAAUCUUUGGUCGGACAUAUCCUGAAACUUUAGGCCAAAUCCAUUUUUGGAUCACUUUUUUCGGGGUUAAUCUGACCUUCUUUCCCAUGCAUUUCUUAGGGCUUUCGGGUAUGCCACGUCGCAUUCCAGAUUAUCCAGAUGCUUACGCCGGAUGGAAUGCUCUGAGCAGUUUCGGUUCUUAUAUAUCCGUAGUUGGGAUUCGUCGUUUCUUCGUAGUUGUCGCAAUCACUUCAAGCAGUGGAAAGAACAAAAGAUGUGCGGAAAGUCCUUGGGCUGUUGAACAGAAUCCAACCACACUAGAAUGGUUGGUACAAAGCCCUCCAGCCUUUCAUACUUUUGGAGAACUUCCAACUAUCAAAGUCAAUACAAAUGAUAAAAAAAGAAAGGUCCAGCUUUCUCAGGCCCUUAGGAGUCAGCGAAAGACCAUCUUUUCCGCUACUUCAUCACAACGAAGAUGGAUGCACACUGAUCCCAGCGAAUUAUUUAUGGCCGUCGCCCCAUACCUGCCCCAAAUGGCAGAUCAAAUCAUGGAAACAGUGGAUAGCCUCCCGCAGAUAGCAGAAAUGGUAGGCCGUGACGUUCACUCAGUGGCGGAAACUACUACCGGUCUACCACAGCUACAAGGGGGGGCUGGCCCAAGUAGUUCAUCUACACUCUGUAAUCUCACCGUAGAAACAUUUCCUUUCCCAUCUACACUAGAAAUAGAUGUAGUAAAAAUAAAGGAAAAUUUAAUGAAAUCUUAUGGGGGUCAACUAAACGGAGAGGAAAUAGUUUCACUUUCCAAUAAAACUAUUGAAUUAAAAACACAAAUACUUCAUAAACUGGCUCUUUUAGCAGGAGAAGACAACGGCCCCCUCCUUUUCAAUACGACUGGUGCUGAUGAUAUUCUAACCACCCUUUCAAAGGCUGAGUAUAAACGGAGUUAUCUACAACAAAUCCACAAAAGCUUAAAAAAAAAGGGAAAAGAAAGUUGUUAUUAUCAUGAAUUUUUGCAAAGGCGGUUAGAAGCCUUUCCUAAUACUUGGAUGCAAUACUUGAAAAUAGGAACUUUACCCCAGGAGGUUAUCGAGAAAAAAGUACUCUCUGCUACUAGUGAAUUUCUAAUGAAAGAUGAUUAAUUAAAGGCAGAUAGAUAGGACGUAGUCUUGCUCGAUCAGGACCCUUGCUUUAUUGCGAGCCAAAACAGCUGCGCUAUUCAGUUCAACAUAUUAAUCUAUCUAACCUUUGGCUACUAGAGAGGGAUUUGCGCAAGCCGGGUAGGGUCAAGUCAAUGCUUAAUCCAUUUCUGUCAGAAUUUCGGCGAACAAGGAGGUAAGGUUGUAAUAAGUAGGGAUAAUAUUGAAAAGGUAGGAAGCAGGUGGGCCAAACAGAUAGCAAGGUUCAAAGAAAGGGUGGGUUAAGCAGCCCCGCUGGGGAGAAGGAGUACGAGCAAUCGAGCUGUGGAGAUGGAAGGCAAGCUGGUUACGAUAAUGGAGAUACCCGGAUCUAGGAAAGCAAGCAAGCACUUUCGAAAGCAGGAAGUAGGGAUUCCCGAUUUUACGUAACAUUAAAGGAAAGGAUGGAAAAUCAAUAUAAUAUAAUAACGUUAUUUCCUUCUGCAAAAAUAUGGGAAAUCAGUUUAUUUAAAAUAGGUUUUCUUUUGGGCUUCUUUCACUUGUUUGUUUGUAUUUCGUCUUUAUUGCUCUUUCUAUUUCGAAUCUCACAUAACAUAAGAUGCUUUCGGAAGUUGAACCGGGACACACCUCUGCGCACCUUGGCCGGGCUAACAGGUUCUUGGUGCCAAAAACGGAGGGAGAGACUAAUUGAUCUCAUUAGUUCCGGGAUUGAGCCGCGGGUUGUAGUCGGCCCGAUGGACCUGCAGACGUAGGAAGGCUUUUCUCGCCAACUGAACUGCCCAAAGCGACUUCCUCAGGAAGGUACGGUCUGACGAGGACCAAUUUCAGUUCGAUUCUGAAAAGUCGCAUAUCAGCAGUUGCCUUAACUGAGUCUAUUAGCAAUUUGAUUCAGUCUUUCUAUCUGGCUAGACCUGUGCCGUGACAAGCACAAGCUAUGAACUAGCCCUUCCUUGCACAAGCGCCUAUUAUACUGGCCAGAUGCCGAUUUGUAACUCCCUUAGGCUACUUUAUCUACAAAACCUAGACUUAUUACUACUACUGGCCUAUCUCUUUCUAAACCCAUGCAUAUGCCUAUUACGUAUCCCGCGCUUGGCUCUCUUUACUACCCUGAACAUCCCGUUCAUACAUACUUGCCUAUCUUUCUAAACCUAAACCGGUGCUCUUUCUCCUAAAUAUGCAUCCCAAGCUUGCUUUCAAACCUCUACUUGCCCUGGCUAGACCAGUUCAUACCUAUUGGGUUUUUAGACCUUUCCCUUCCCGCCUCCUUUGCGGAUAUGCCCUUAUUCAGCUCUUGAAAGAAAGAGAGAUAGAAAGAGAGAAUGAUCAAACUCAACUAGACGGCAGUUCCUCUUGUUCAAACCUCUCUUGCCGAGUCUUCUCCUCAUAGCAAGUUCCGGGAGAGCUAAACUACUAAUAUAAUGUAAAUAGCAGACGCUAGAACAAGAACGGAUUGCUUUACCCGCUAUAGCCAGCGACGCAUCCUGCAGUGCUCCCUUCAUCAGCGGAUCAAGCUUUCGCAAGGCAAGGUACAGCUUUUUCAUCCCAGUUCCGGGUUCCUGAAAGUCCAUUCUUCAAUGUUCGAGAGCAUCUCGCUAACCUCGAUCUACUUCCUAUCAGAUGCUGCAGAAACUAACUAUACUUCUCUAAUCAUAACAUUUUCAUUUCUAUAUGAUAAUUUGAGAUUGCUCUACCGGACCAGAGUCGUAAGUGUUGACUCAUGCGAGUCACUCCUUCUCAGCUUUGACUUCUUGGCUUUUCAUUGGUAUCCGUCUUUCACUUAAGCUAAGCCAUUGGCAUGACCAUUCGUUCUGCCCGAUCGUCUUACUCUUUUUUCUACAGCAGCAAGGAUCUCGCAAUCUAUGGCUCAGAAAGCAGGUUUCCGUUUGGUGUGUCGCUGACACUGCCUCUCUACUUUUCGAAAUGAACGUUCGGGCUUACUACUCCUGGGGCUAGGGGACUGGUAUCUACAUCCGAGGCCACAGGCAGUUGUUCCUGCUGUGGGUCCUGAAUUGUUGUAUAAUGGCUUAGACGAAAACAGCACCGAGACUAAACUAAGAGCUGAGAGUCCUAACUCAGUAAAGUAUAGGAUUAAAAACAUUACCUAUUACUGCAUUAUUUGUUGCUGCGAGUCAAGAAAAGAAAGUGUGGAGCUCCGUGAAGAAGCAAGUUCAAUUACUCAAACGUUGGAACUAUUGUAAAACACAUUCCGUCGCCCAAGUCAGAUCAUUGCCUACUGGCCACGGGGCUUAUGAGGCCAGCGGAGGAGGAGGAGGGAAACGUAUGAGAUGAGGGAUUUGGACUUGCUACACUUACCAGAUGUGAGGUAGUGAAAUGCUUUCCUUCCAUAGCUAACUUUCCCAUAGCCGUAGUUCCAGUCUGACUCUCCGAAGCCUAUGACCAAGAGUAAGGGCACUCAGCAGGCAAGGAUCAACUAGAUUAGUGAACUCCCUUGUCUCGGGGAUUCCUUUUUUCUGCCUUGUCGUGAGAAUCUGAUCUCAUUGCUUAUAGAAAGAAGCCAGUAAAGAAGGUGCUUUUUCGAGAUGUUUAAGUUGGCACAGGAGAAGAAGUAAGCAAAUAGGGCAAACCAGCCAUCUAUAGAUAGGUGUUCAAUUUUUAUGAGAGUGCUCUCUUCCUAUAAGAGUUCCGCUUUUGCUAAUCAAAGACAGAAUUUAAACAGACAUCAAUCAUCUAAUCAGAAUUCUUUUACAAUUAAUAGAUACCUAUCAUAGAAAAACCUUUCUCCAAGGAAGCUUGCUUCUUGUUCCAGAUUUUAUCCUAAAAUAGGUUACUUUGCUUUCCGCUCUAUCGGAAAACGUUCUAACGUAUUGAUUCCGUAAUUCUAUUUUUGAAAAAAAAGAGUGAGACUCAAUCUCCUUAUGCCAUCUCACGCUACCGAAGCAGACUCGCUCCGUCUAUGCGUCCUGAACCUGAAGAUAGAGACCCCAGCUAGACCUAUUUAGUUUAGUUGCCUCGGGUGAGCUGAACUACCAGAACUAGUUCUUUACAACUCGUGCCCCGGAGCCCUCUAUCUAGAAUAGCUCUCUCUAGAUUUCCCAGAAAUGUUACCAGAAUAAGUUACAACUGACUAUAUCUUCUUUUCCCAGCUUAGCGCCCUCCCACUAAGCUCUCAACCAAUCCAAGGUUAAGAAAUUCAUGAUGAUCCAGCUUGAGACUAAGUCGUUUAGUAAGAAGUUAUCCUCUAGUGCCCAGGAUUCUUUUUAGACUGACUUUUCAAUCGUCAAAGGGAAUAGAACCAAAACAUCGAACGAUAUGCUUUUAUUCAUUUUCCACUGUGAAAGGUUCUCUCAAUCCCUCCCUAGUCCUUUCUUUCCUUUCAAAACUCUCUAUGUAUUCAUUUGCUUUCUUACCAGGCCUACCCAGGAAAGGGGUAUAGAUAGAAGGAGGGAUCCUCCGACCAUAGGUCUAUUGAAUAGAAAAAAACAAUUGAAUAUCCAGCAGCUGCUUUUAUUUUCUCUACGAAGAUAGUGGCUAGCUAUGGACUCCGGUUCCUCAUAAUCAGAAUCUCGUACGUGGGUCUCCUCAGAAACAGUAAGCUCAAAGUCUGUCUAUCGUUAGUAAACAGUAAGCUAGCGGGUUUUAUGAUUAAAGGAGAGCAGUGUUCCGUAAUUGUCUUCCCUAGAGUCCAUUUAAGGGUUCAAGGAGAUGGUAUCCAUGUCGGUGCAAUUUUAUAGAAAAAAACAAGGUGGAUUCCUAGAAAAGUCUAUCGCUUGCCAAUCUUGUGGUCACUGGAGUCUGACUGAACGGUCUUUGUCUCGGUGGAGUCUAGAUUUGAGUUCUCGAUGGUGUGCCCUUAUUGAGCUUUUCUUAGGUGUCGGUGUAGGUAGUAGGAUAGCGUUAUAUAGGUAUAGAACGCAUAAGCGCGAUAACAUCCCCAAAAGCUUCUUUCUAUCCUCGAAUUCACAUGCACCCCUCGAGAUGAUUGUUACUAUACGGACUCUGUUGUACUUAGCUACCCUGAAGGAUUUGUAUCUUCAACUGAACUCGGUAAAUUCAAGUUAGAACAUCAUGUUAAGGAAGGUAUAUCUUUAGCACCUAAGAGCUAUUGUCUAAUUCCUUAUGAAGGGUCUAGUGAUAUAUUGGUUCACAAAGGGGCAGUAAAAGAGCAUGUCACUCGGGAAUGGUAUAUUAAUCAAUAUACCAACCGAACUCAUAUCGAAAGUGUUACCAGCAGUUGAUAUGAGAUCUAUGUCUGUGAACAUCCGACUUUCUCUUAACCAUGCCAUAAGAGGGUUAAGGUAUAUGAUGCAUCUGAUCAAUGGAUUGAUACUAUGCCUAGAAGGGUUUCUAGUAUAACAGAUCCUCCCCUUGCACACAUGCUUUCGUUAUUACCAGUAUCUAAAAUAUCUGAAAGCAGAGAUACUGAAACCGGCUUAUGGGUUGCCUAAGCACAUUGACAGCUUAGAAGGAACUGGUCGUGAUUCUUUAUGCAGACAGGUGGAUAGCCUAUCAGAAGAACUAGAUUCUAGGAAAUCGGACACUAGUACAGGCAAGCCUUCCCCUUCUCUACCUCUACCAUCUCUUCCGUCUCCACCUCAACCGUCUCCUUCUCCACAUCUUAUUACUCCAAAGAGUCAUGAUUUGAGUCCUAAACCAACCACCAGGAGUUUCAGAGAGAAUUGGUUUGCAGCGCAGCGGCUCUUGACCAAAGCCUACCUUUCCCUUUUCUUUGCAUUGAAUUUCAUUGCUUUCAAGUACAGAGGACUCCUGAAUAAGCUGACUUCGUUUUAUUGAAUAGCCAAGACCCUGGCAGUCAAACCUUAAGAAAGAUAAGGAAGAUUGAUAGGACUUGAAUUCCCACUUGAUUGCUUUUUAUCUCUCCUCAUGUUUUGCUAAUAGUUUUUAUCAACAUGGAGAUACGAAAGUAGAGAACGCAUUGCAUUCAAUGUGAUUUCCGCUCCCUUGCUUCGAUUUCGUGCGUUUAAAGGCAGGGUUGAGCAACCAAUCAUAACCCUUCUUUGUGGCAGAAGUUUUUACCGGUUCCCCAGGAAAGUAUGUUGGUUUUGCAUAAACAAUUAGGGGGUUUCAACUGAUCCUUUCCGGAGAAUUAGACGGUCUACCCGAACGGGCCUUUUAUUCGGUGGGUAAUAUCGAUGAAGCUAGCACGAAUGCUAUAAACUUAGAAGAGGAGAACAAAUUGAAGAAAUGAAUGAAAUUCAAUCUUUAUGUACUGACUCCUAAGCGAAUUAUUUGGGAUUGUGAAGUAUGGUUUCAGGGUUUGUCAACCAAGUGGAGGAAGCGAUUGGUAUCAAGUUAUCAGAGCCUGCAUCCUCUGAGCAAUACUUAUCCUCCUUGAUAGCAACAGGUGCUCAAGAGGGGGGAAGAAGCGACUUUGUUCUUCUUCUUGCCAGCUUGAUUGAACCUUUCUCUGAGCUAGAAUCUCUUGAUCUUUUGCUGCCUUCGGAGUUUGGUGUAUCUACGACUUUUCUGCCGGAUGUGUAUUCAUUGGUAUCUUCAUUACCUGAGAUACCAGAUUAUAUGGCUUGGCUUGUUGAAGAACCACGCGUUCUUUAUCUGGAAGGUUGGUCUGGUGGGUACAAUUCUUGAUUUGUGCUUCCAUCCAUCUAAAGGAUCUAUUAGCUGGUGGUUCAGUUCAGACUAUUUUAUGUCCGAUCGGUUUGAGGUGAGAAGUAGAAUGAUGCUGAAUUCCUUUCUUGAUUAGGUUUGUUCUCUGGUGAAAUCGGAUAAUAAAAAAAAUAAAGGUAGUGUAUUUUCAUAACUUAGCAGGAGAAGAUGGUAUUCUUCUGAUAAACCACAUGAUAAGUAAUAAGCCUUCAUGGAUGGGAACUGAAGCCUUUAAUGAGAAAUGCUUUUGAAGAAGAUCCUUUUCGAAAUGCAUUUUCACCGAUUUCUAAUCAAGAUUUCGGCAUGGGUAGCAUUGAAUCAGUUCCUACUAGUUGUAGUCAACUUAUCAGUAGGAUUAUCCCUAAGGAGGGGGUGUUAAAAACUAUAGUAAGUCCUACAAAAUUAGAGAUAAUAUCGUUUAAAUCAUUGUUUUACAAUCCCCGAACCGGUACUAUGGAUGGGGGCAUUCCAAUGGAUGGAGUCAGCACUGUGAUUAAGGAAAAUCAUUCGAUGAUGAACGAAUAUCUAAAUAUAGAUUUAGGGCUUAGUCCAAUGAAUUAUGAGGAAUUGAGUUCACGAGGAACAUUGUGGAAAGCCCUUAACAUGGCAGCGGAUUCUCUAAUUAAUGGCUUAUUGAUAGAAUUAGGAGGACUCGAGGCACACAGCGCGGGAAUCCUAGGCUAUGAUGCCUCUGAUUGUGUGUUACAUUUACAUAUAGUAAUGUCCCAAACCCCUGACAGCAUAAGCUUCAUUUAUGGCAAUCUCUUUACCAUUGUAAAAUUAGGUAGUUCGUUUAGAAAACUAUGGUUGAAUUACAACAUUUGGGAUGGUUUGUCUGUUUUUACACAUACUAGUGUGGUACCAGACUCCAUACAGGAAUUGGUAACAGCACUUCAACUAAAGGAUAAUAUAGAAGGUCAUCAUAUCAUUAAGUUCCGUGAGGCACUCACGUAUGAGUUUCAAUCCUCUAACAUCUUUCAAUCGUCUGACAUCCUUGAUGGGGUGGGCAAGGCGGCCCUAGGCCUAAAGGGAAUAGUACCAAAUCCCGUAGGAGGGGUAUUAUGAUGUAUACAGAUACAAUGAUGGGGUUAGUUAUUAGAACAACAACUAUUUAUCAGCCUUAUCGGCUAUUUUCAACAAGUAAAACACGUCCAUUAAAGACGUCAUGUAAUGACGGCAAUAAACUGAUGCUUAUAUCUGCAAUUGAGUCUAUCUAUAACGAUGAAUGGAGGGUAAGAGGUGUACUCCCUUUCAGGAUGGAGGGUUUGCAAAGGGAAUUGCUUGUAAAAGACAACUUCCUUUUAGAACCAAUUGAUUAUUAUCAAUAUAAGAAAUCGGCUAUUCCUUCUUUCCUCUAUAAUAUGCUUUUCACGGAAGCAUCACUGGGGUAUUUAUGGUUGAAUGAAUGGGUUGAUGAUGAUGUCAAUAUGAUAGGGGUGUAUAAGUGUAGAGAACCAACAGAUUUAUUUCUAAUGACGGCGUUAUCCCGGGUUUUAUUAAGGAGAAUAAGUUAUGCAUAUAUUGCACCCAUUACCACUAACGUUUCAACAUUAAAUGAUCUCAAGUGCAAGCACUACGAUUUCUUGAAUAGACAGCAAAAUGUCGUGAAACUAAUCAUGAUAGACUUGACACCUUGUAUGAAACAAGCAAGGAACUCACGUAUAUUGAAAUGUUUUGAUAAUGAAACGAGCAAAGGGGUCGUUUUGAAUUUAGUAAAACAGAUUCUCUAUCUAUCAAUCUAUGAUAUGAAGAGUAAGAAGUUUAUACCGUUCAAUCUAAUCCCUCCAAUAGGUGAAAUAACCAAUGUGAUUUUACAUCUUUUCUAUCAAAAAGUGUUCGAUAAAGUGAUAGAGGAGAAGUAUCCUGGAAUAACAUAUACCCGAUGGGGUCAUGAAGUGAUUAUAGCACUCAAGAAGAAUGAUUCAUUUACAUUCGAUGAUGAUACAGUUAUUUCUCUAUUAGAUGAAAUAAAUCUAGAUGGGGAAUUUGAGUUCUUAUCAAAAGAAGACUAUGACUGCAUGCCUGCGUGUAACGAUGAAAAGGCUAUAUUACUAGACGAGGAUGGGUGUGUUUCGGUAUGGAGAUACGAGGAUUUGUAAUAAGAUUUGGAAGCACUUUUACCCUUCCGAAGGGGAAUUGGUCGGUCAGUGGUUUUCUGGGCCUGAAUCCCGGAUGAAUCCCCUAUUAGAACCUUCUCAAGCAAACCCUCGUAAUCCUUUUACAUCUCUUAGUCUAGCCCAUGCAUACCUUGCUUUACCCAUCGUUACUUAUCGUUCAACUUAGACCUCGAUAGCAAAUUCUUCGAGAGUCUCUUGUUCCAUCUACUAUCCUUUCUGAAGAUAAUAGAGUAACAGUGCUCCAUAGAGAGAGAAAGAAGACACAGUAAUGGUAAGCCAUUGUAGGGAUCAGCCUAGAAGGAGAAUCAUGAAUUCUUGUUUUCAUGAUAUGAUGAAACGAUUCAAUCAUGAUUGGGGUGUGGGUAAUUAUCUUCUUUUUUUUUCAUAAGAUGCGGUAUUCUUGUAGUGGUUCUCGAGGGCAAAGGGGGGGAUUUGGGUAAAGCCAGUGGUGGUGAUUGUGUCAUCCGUUCUCUUCUUAAUAACUCCCAUCUCCCGAGGCCUAGCUUCGUAUUAUUUUCUUCAUUCAAAGCAACCCAUUACUUUUGCUACUACUACCACUAGUCUAGCUGUUGUCUAUUUGCAACCAUAUAAUUUUUCUAAGAGUACAUGAGAUCGUAUUGUAUUUUGGGUUGCACUAGCGAUAAGGUAAAUAAAAAUUCUGGCUGGGGGAUAGUGCGGUAGUGACCGGAAUCCCAUCAAUGAUGCAAUAGGGGUAAAUUUUGUGAAGCCUGUUAUUACUGGAUAUACCCCCGUAUCAACAGAUCCAUAAAGGCCAGAGCUAACAAUAGGCCGUUACCAACGCUCGGAUACGGUAUCUUGAAAUCGUUAAGGCUAAGAUGCAGUAUUUGUUUAAGGAAAUGUAUAACCCAAUACGGGAUUCGGUUACGGAAGCCUGGGCUCCCAUCCACGAUAUUGAUGGAAAGGAAUGCAUUCGUGAAGAACCUCUUCUUACGAUAGACGACGUCAGCCGAAGCGUUAUUUCGGAGGCAUACCCCUUGGUUGAAUGGGAAAAUAAAAAGCAGCGGUAUAACUCUAAAUUUUGGACACCUCUCCACAAAAAGAAGGGAAAGGAUAAGAAAGGAUAGAUAUCUCAUGAUCUGAUGGAUAAACUCUAUGAUUUCAGGGAUCGAUUUAUCCAAAGUUACGAAUCAGAUUCUAAGAUCCAAGAUACAGUUAAACCUACUGUAAAAGUCUUUGACUUUCUCAAAAGCUCAUGGAGAGAAGUUCUUUCACAAGAUGAAUUAAGAAAUAUUCAACUAAAAGUUGAAGAGAUGACAUAUAAGUUUAAAGGAACAAGUUUCCUUGAGAAUACACCGCAGUUGAAGAGUAUAUUCUUCCUGGGUAAAUCCGCAAAGGACUUCCUUCUUGAAUCAUUAGUUGAUGAACUAGAUCUUCUAAUAGUUAGAGCCUCCCCAACUUGGGGACUUGAACCCUGUGUUAUAUGGGUGCUAAGCAAACACUUUAAUGUUUUUUCUCUUGAGAAGAGGGGUGUUCUUCUGGCUACUUUAAUUGAAGAUUUAGACAAUGAGGCAAGCAAGCCAUUGGAGUGCUUCGUAGGCAGUGCUUUAUCAAGGCAAGCUUCUCUUUCUUUCGCCAAUGAAGUUCAUAUAAGUGUAUAUAAACCCUUCUUUUCACAACCAUGCACAAACCAAAGUGCUGCUGAAACGUGAAAUCCAUGCACCAACAAGUUCCUGUUCAUAAGCAAUGAAAAAGCAGAGUAUAUGGGAGGAUAGUGGCUAAACUGUUCACUUGAGGAGAGUGGGAAGUGACUAGUCCGAUAGGAGAAGAGCGGAAGUGCGAUCUUUCGAUCCAAUCUACGUCGACUAAAAUCCAUGUCUCAUGGCACGAGGGCUAUAGGCUUGUGGAGACAGGAUACAGAGUUUGCAAAAGAAUAGUUUAGAGAAGGAAAGCCAGUAGAGUAUGCCUUGGUUUAAGAGAGGAGGCAUCUGGAUAGCUAGGGAUAGGGGAUUCCGGUCACUUGGUAAAGAAGGGUGGAUAGCCGACAUAGGGAUGUAAGGGAGUUGUAGGAUGCCAGAGAAAGCAUUGAAUAAGCGAAGAAGCACGAGGCAGACCUUUCUUCAGAGUUAGCAAUGGUAGUUCGGAUAGCAAAGCACCAGCAAGCGGAUAAGGCUAGGCAUGUCAGUAAUAGGCAGGAAAAUAAAGGAAUAACAAGAAAGCCAUGAUGCACGCGACUUGGUUGAAGAAAGAUUUGGAAGAUCUUCACUUCAAUUCUUUUCUCUAUGUUCAGAAUUCGAUGAGCUGAGGACAAUGAAGCAAUGGAAAGAACGACGACCUAGGAGGUAGUAGUAGUACGAAGCCGGAAGGUGGUUUGAUUCUGAAGUUGAGUGAGGAGGCGGACCACGUGACAGUAAGCAAAACGUAUAUUUUGACUGCUCAUAAGGCGAUGAGACGGGCAGAGGACAAAAGCAGGGUGCCCCGCAUUCUCAGCUGCUGAUUCUCAGGCUGAUUCUACUUGGUUGGUAGAAAAUCUACUUAUCCAGGAACAGGCGACGGAACAUACGAAGGACACACGUGCUACGAAGAAAUAUGAGAUUCUCAAAACAGGGAAGGCUACGGAUACACAUGGGGCUAGGCUAACAAGUAUCUUCGUUUGACCCUGGAUUGUUUCAUGCAGGAGUCAAGCUCUACAGGUCGGCCUGAGACGGAGCAUCGGAAGCGAAUCGAAGUAAUCUGGUUGGGAUUUCACACUACGGCUUGGAGUUGGGUUGGGGUUGCUCGAGUCACCUUACUCCAGGAGGGGUGCCGCGAAGAGUACCGUUUAAAGCCCGUUUCAUGUAUCUUUUUGGAUGGUGCUCACGUGGACGAAGCCAAAAUGCUUUACAAAGGUGUGAACGUCAGUGUCGUUUCUAACCCUCCUGUUGAUCUUGACAUUCAAUAUACGUGUGUAUAUAUGGACCCUAUACAGGAAUUAGUGCUGACGGCUCUGGGCCGUGUGUUAUUGGAGACUAUUUGACCUAGUAUGUUUGAUAAGUCAAGGGUCGAAUCGUUUUUCAGGCAUUUUCAUACACACUCCAAUGUGAGCGAACUCUUAAUCAUUCGAUACGAGAAAAGCCUUACUGGUGUGGCACCUUCAUCGCUCUUGGGCUUUUUCGAGGAUCAACUAACUAAUGUAGAUGGGAUCAAUAACUAUAACUAUAUGUGGGGUUAGCUCAAAAGCUUUCUACUAAUGCCCUACGUGAAUUGCUGGAACUCGCCCGAGAAUAGGCUCCCCCCUUUUAAGGAGAACGAUUUUUCGGUGAACGGAGACCCUUUGCCUUUCGGCCUGUAUUUGCUGGAUAGUUUUGACCCUGUUCCAUAUCUUUUCCAGUUCUUUCUUUUUGAACAUCUUUCUUUGCAAGAAGCUGAAGCCAAUAAUGGAGGAUUUGCCGGAAGAGUUCAACUACCAUGUGGACUUCUUCUAUCUAUAUACGUUUGUUGUUAUUUCCAGGCCUGUGUUGAGACUUUGAGGCAUAGCCCUGGUGUUUUUAGCGAAGCCGAAAGGUUGUUCCGUCGAGAAAGAAGAAUAUCUCGUCAUACCAACUAUAUGCUUUGUUCAUGUCUGCCAUUUCGUUUAUCAUAGAGGCGCGCAGCGAAAACGUGUCCAAGAAAGAGGUAAGGCUUUCCAUAAGUCUGAAAGAAACCUUCUUACUAGCAGGUUGUCCUUUCUUCGCCUAGUCUAUCUAAGACCGGAUUCGUCGGCGCAAGAGUGCUCGAUCAGUGACCUCCUACGCACUGCCGGCUUUGGGCAUACUAGCUCGCUGCGGAAGAGAAUGAAGAUAAAUAGGGUUCAUGUAACGUAGGGCAUAACACAUAGAAAAGCCCUUUUUAUCCACGGUAUGAUUGUUUUCCUAUUGCCUUGUCUUUCUGCUAUCUUGAAAUAGCUGUUAUUGUCUUCCUGGUCAGCUUUCGACGAGUGACUCUUGGUUGCGGGGCCAGGGAGGGGACCUACUAUCUACUUAACCGCUAGGCAAAGAGGGAGGACGGACCAGUCUCUUUCUUUCCGCUUGGAAGCCCAUUUUUCGGUAAUAUCCCUGCUGGAAAAAGAAACAGUACUGGUUUAAGAAAACUAGAGGAGCUGGAAAUAGGAUUUCUGAUCUGGGAAUUGAUGGUUUCUGAGGCAAAGGAAACUUUAGGUUAAGAAAUCAAAGCCAAGCAGGUACAAACAUUUCCCAUAGUGGUUAUGGUUGCUAAUGGUCAGAACAUAAUCAGUAAAGCUGUGUAUCGGAGGGGGUACCUGGAAGGUGCAAGGAGUGGAAUUUGAAGCAAAACUGAGGCUGUUGCCACUGGUUGCCUAUGACAUGGUGCUAGGAAUGGAUUGGUUGAAUACUCCGCUGGGGAAAGGGAUCUUUAAUGAAGGGGUACUUACACCGUUAAAAACAUACUCCAUACCUAGUUUACAUAUUAUUGCCUAGUGGGAAUGAUGGAAUUCCCAGAAAGCGAACCCUUGUUAAGUAAAGCCGAGUCCUUUGCUACCGGGCAUUCACUGCUGGUCACUCCUAAAUCUACCUGGUAUGGACUGCUAAAUCGAUUCCUCUUGGCUUUAAUAUCACCAGAUUAGCAAGAAAAGCUUUCCUCCGCAAUCAAGCCAAAGAAAGCGCUUUUCCUAAGCUAAGAAUGUGGUGCCUAAGAAGGAAAUAGCCUUUAUUCCUAUCUAUGACCAAGACUAUGAAGAGUAAAAAGAUUAGGAUAAGCAGACAUAAUAAAUAGAGUACCAGAUAUGUUAGAUUCGGAUCUGUCUAUAGUGUGAUGUGGCGCUCUUCUCCAAUCGAGUACCUCAGUAAGGUAGGCAAAGUCCUUUUCCCCACCGUCUUGUCUUCAAGUAGCCUUUACCUCCUUCUCUGUGAAUGGCGCACACUGGAAGGUAUUCAUGCUGUCAGUGACCUUUGACGGGACGUGAUCUAGCACCGCUGACAUAUUAGCAGUGCCCUCCGACGUAUACAAGUUCUGAAAGAAAUCCCGUGUCAUAGCUUGCAUCUUCUCACAAUCCUCACUGACAGACCCGUCCCCUAGGGGGCUAUAAAAAGGGCUAUAGGGCCACUAAUACAAAAGCGAUCAACAUGCACGUUAGAGAAGUGCCUCUACUUAUUUAUUUUUAUUUUAUUUUCUAAAGGAAUGGCUCGUUUCAUCAAUUCGCUCGAGCCAGGUGCCACUUCAGAUUUAUUCUUUUAUUCUGGAGCUUCUACCCAUGUUACGGCUGACAUCAAUAACCUUUGAACUCCCUCUGUCUACACUGGAACGGAGAAAAUCCAUAUGGGAAAUAACACAGGUUUGUAAAUUCUCCACUCUGGUUCAUCUCUUAUUCAGACACCGGUUCAGACUCUCUCUUACCAACAUUCUCCAUGUAUGUGCCCGGUAUUACCAAUAACUUGUUGAGCGUUGUUCAAUUGGUCAAGUGCUAAACCCUUGGAAUUCACCUCUUCUUGUUGUUUGGUUAAAGAUCGAGUGAAACAGGAGCUGCGUGGCACUCUUUUAAAUGGGCUUUACCGUCUUUCUUUACCUUCAGAACACACAGCUUUGCUUGGCGAAAUAACUCCUGCCUAUAUUUGGCAUCUCAUCUACUUAAUUUAAUGACAUUCCAUAUCUCAGGAAAAAGGAAAAGCGAAUUGAAUUUCAGUAAAGUCUUUUUUUCUGCUUUAUCCUUCUCUCAAUCAAAGAAAGGGAAUGCAGAUGUUCUGUCGCCCUCUCUUCGAUGCCAUCUCAUCCUUUCUUUCCCUAGCUUCCUUCUAUGCUGAAAGAAGCUUCUUUGGAGAGCGUAGAAGUGGCUUUAACACAAGCCCCUGACAUUGACUAGAGGACUGGGUAGUGGAUUAGCCUCAGAAGGUGGUUCGCCAGGGCUCAAACCGAACCGAUUGGCCAAUACCUUUUCGAAUGAGAUUCAGUCUUUUUUAUUUUCACACUCUAUCUAGACCCGGUAAGCCGUCUUGUACGGUAAGGGCUUUGUUCUUAGUAAAAAUAAAAAAUCCGCCCUUCUAGCUCAUACCAGCAUGGAAUUUCCGUCAGGCAAUUUGGAUUCUGGGUAUAUGGGCUAGGCUAAACAUCUGCGCCUGACACCCGCUGAUGAGAUUCUUUCUUUGUGUUUGGAUGCAUUCCCCUGAUCUUCCCCAAAUCCCACACUAGCCUACAACCUUAGGUAAAUCAGUUCCUCCUGGGAUUAUUAAGCACCCGUAGGGAGUGUAUGGAACUUCAAUCACAGCAUAAUGGGUGCAAGAAUUGCCUUUCCUCGGCUCUACUAGUGAACUUAAGCCAACAAGCUUUUCUGUCUGAGGGAGAGUGCUUUAUUUGAGUAGUAGCUGCCGUCCAUUUCAUCACCCGAAAUAUCAAGUUCUGUUUGUUCAAAAUCGUUACUAUCAUUUCUGCCUAUUCUUAUCGAGUGUGUUUUAGUCUAUUAUCAUAUAGAGUUCUUUUCUGGUUCUUAUUCUAUUUGUGGAGUGGAAGUCACGCAAACAAAGUAGUAAAGUCCUGGCUUGGAAGUCAAGUAAUAGAAAGGCAUAAAGCAAGGCUUUCUGGUAAUCCUAGUGCAACGUUGACUACUCUCUCUCUCCCCUAUUUUUAAUAUAGCUUUGCUAAUCUUUGAUGGCCAUCUUGUAAAGGAAAAGAAAGGAGAAUGUUGCUCCUCUGAAAACGCGUAUAGUAAUCUCAUUGGCCUUCGUCGAUGGGAUGGACAAACGCUCCACUGUAUGCCUUACAGGGCAACUAGCAUUUCGUUUUGGAAGUUCGUGAAAGGAAAGAAUGUUCUUGUUUUUCGUUGGAAAAACCAACGCCGACGUCAAGAUCAGUCUCCUUUCUCUUUUCGGGAGCAGAGCUGAAAAAGAUGGACAGUAACGAUCGCGUAAUAUCAAUUUAUCGGCCUCGUCAUCGAAAGCGGCUUCCAAUUGCUCGGAAAUUCUCAGCUAUAUGGGGGACUUUGAUGGUGAGCAAAAAGAAUUGAUCAAUAAAUUGGUAAACUUUCGCAUGAUCGAUGGUAAAAGAACGAGAGUUCGUGCUAUUGUUUAUAAAACUUUUCACCGCCUAGCUCGAACUGAACGCGAUGUAAUCAAACUUAUGGUUGACGCCGUAGAUAAUAUAAAGCCAAUAUGCGAAGUGGUCAAAGUAGGAGUCGCAGGUACUAUUUAUGAUGUUCCUGGGAUUGUAGCCAGGGAUCGUCAACAAACCUUAGCUAUUCGUUGGAUCCUUGGAGCAGCUUUCAAACGACGUAUAAGCUACAGGAUAAGCUUAGAGAAAUGUUCAUUUGCUGAGAUACUGGAUGCUUACCGAAAGAGGGGAAUUUCACGUAAGAGAAGGAAGAAUCUUCAUGGACUGGCUUCCACCAAUCGGAGUUUCGCGCAUUUCAGAUGGUGGUAAAGUGAUACCACAUAAGGAGCUCUUCCUCAUUCAGUCAUACUCAACAAAAGUCAGAAAUGUUUGACCCUGAUCCUUUUUUCAUCUUCAUAUAGAAAGAAAAUCGGCCUUCCUCAUACUCCCCCCUUCAUUCAUGGAGUUGGAGGAAUCCACAAGAGGCCUGCCCGUUCAUAAUUGCAUAAAAGAACCAUUCUUUUUAUGAAAACUCUUGUUCCAAACAAGCAAGGGAUUGAGCAACUAGCGCGAAAGCCGUUGCGCUAACGCGCAUCCGUUUUCUUGCUCCUUAACGACCGAGGGAUGAAAUCUUUCGACGACUAGGGAGGCGUCACCCGAGGCCGAUUCCUGUGGAUCACUAUAGAAUCUUCUAGAAGCAAGCUAGGCUACCUUCUGGCUAGCUCUGCCAUCUUAGAAAAAUUCCUUCGCGCUUAGCUUAGUAAGCUAGCUUGGUAAGCUAAGCAAGCCUGGUUCUCCGGGCACUAUGGUAGGACGUGGAUCGAUCAUGACGAGAAUGGACUUCUCCGUCAUGUAAUGGUUUAGAAGAGUCACGGUCCAGUUCCCCGCCGGGCUUUUUCCCUUCUCGACUAGACGAAGGAGAUAUUCAUUCCAUUCAGGCAGGUGAGGAAGGGCGGCGUCGGCUUGACCCUGUCUUCUCUCUUGGUCGGGUCGGAGGCUAAGUUUCUCAUUCAGUGGUGAGGUGUUCAUAGAAAGCAAGGCCUCGCCCAACGAGUGGCGGAUUUGGUUUGGGUGGGGUCUCGUCUCGCUUGGACGCUGGGGAGAUCCAUAGAUCUGGAUAGAGUCUUUCUCGCUCAGUAAAGAAGAGUACGCGCGCUACGGCUUACGCAGUGGAUCUUCGGGCAACCAACCCGGCACAUCCAAUUCCGAUCAACAACUUGGAGGUAUGGCUGAGUGGCUUAAGGCAUUGGUUUGCUAAAUCGACAUACAAGAAGAUUGUAUCAUGGGUUCGAAUCCCAUUUCCUCCGGCACGGAAGUUGAACGGGCGGGCGAAAUUACGUGAGAGAAAGAACCUCAGAUUGAUGGAGUCCGCCGUCGGACAGAAUAGCACUACUUAGUGACUAGGAGCGGAGCGCCCCUUUCUUGUUCUUGGUGGCGUCUAUAGCGAAGAAGACCUUCCCGAACGAGGGCCGUCCAGUCCCUGGCCGGCUCUCGGUUCUUGAGCAAGCUCCUCCACUGCGGGUAGGAUGCUUAUAGAUGAAGAAAAGAGACUUUAGGCAAGUGGUUCUGGUAGCUCAGCUGGUUAGAGCAAAGGACUGAAAAUCCUUUUUAGCUUGUUUCAGUGGGAAGAGCAAGGGGCAUUGCCCUUGAAAUCCUUCAGUGGUUCGAAUCCACAUCUGAGCGUCUUUUUUUUUUCGGUAUGCCGCUCCGCGAGCAAGGAGCGCCGCGAGGAGAGCGAGAGAACGAAGUGGGCUUUGGUGAUGUCGGAAUUUGCACCUAUUUGUAUCUAUUUAGUGAUCAGUCCGCUAGUUUCUUUGAUUCCACUCGGUGUUCCUUUUCCAUUUGCUUCCAAUAGUUCGACCUAUCCAGAAAAAUUGUCGGCCUACGAAUGUGGUUCCGAUCCCUCCGGUGAUGCCAGAAGUCGUUUCGAUAUACGAUUUUAUCCGGUUCCUAUUUUAUUUAUUAUCCCUGAUCCGGAAGUCACCUUUUCUUUUCCUUGGGCAGUACCUCCUAACAAGAUUGAUCUGUUUGGAUCUUGGUCCAUGAUGGCCUUUUUAUUGAUUUUGACGAUUGGAUCUCUCUAUGAAUGGAAAAGGGGUGCUUCGGAUCGGGAGUAACCACUAGUGAAAGGGCUAAGGGGGGAAGGACAUAGGAAAGAGGAAUGCCUACAAAAAAUCAAUUGAUUCGUCAUGGUAGAGAAGAAAAACGGCGCACGGACCGUACUCGAGCUUCGGAUCAAUGUCCCCAGAAGCAAGGAGUAUGCCUGCGUGUUUCGACGAGAACACCGAAAAAACCUAAUUCAGCUCUACGUAAGAUAGCAAAAGUACGGUUGAGCAAUCGACAUGAUAUAUUUGCUCACAUUCCAGGCGAAGGUCAUAAUUCGCAGGAACAUUCUAUAGUCUUAGUCAGAGGAGGUAGAGUGAAAGAUUCGCCAGGUGUGAAAUCCCAUCGUAUUCGAGGAGUCAAGGAUUUGCUGGGAAUUCCGGAUCGUAGAAAGGGAAGAUCUAAAUAUGGUGCAGAAAGACCAAAAUCGAAAUGAAUGGAAGAUGCCUCUGGAACUUUUUGGUUCUUUUGUUCGGGAGACAACCAUUGUAGAUUCCAGCCGAGAAGAUUUCAGGGAUUGUGACAGCUACAAUGGAUCCAUUUGUUGACUUUCUCCGCGAUCUGAUACAAAAAGUAUGGGAGUUCGAACCCUGUUUUUAUGUUUGAAUAACCACAAUAGUGGUUAUUUCGGUAUUCAUAGCCACCUUCAUCUCAAAUCACUAUUUACGGUGGAAGUGUUAUUGUUUUAAUGUCAGUAGAGGAGAUGUUCUCUUUCAAAUAAAGGACAAUAUUUCCGGGUUCGAAAUGAACCCAAUCCCUUUCAAACGGGACAAAAUUUCGUUUCCAGUUCCUAUGAGGCGGACCCGCCGAAUUGCUGCUAUAAUGCGGAGAAAUGGGUCAAAGCGUCGAUUAUAUGCCUUCUCUUUCCAUAAGACCGAUGGCCUCUAACCCUUUUGACCGCAUUGAUGACUCUGUUGACAAGCAGUCGAUCGUUGGCCUCAGCCGUUGCCCAGACUGUGUUGGCUUUUAAUACAUUUGUGAUAGAUAAGCCUCGCGUCCGGAAACGGAAGGUGUUAACGUUUACGGCAGGUCAGCCCUUAGGUUACUAUGGGCCCUGGCCACUUUUCACAUUAUCUCACCACAA